UUUUUAUUUUUUCUAAUGUUUACCAACAAAUGUAUGUGAGAAGUACGUUUCAACCUGUAAAACAUCAUGCUGAUGUUAGUUAUUCUUUUGUUUUUCAUUGUUUUCUUUGACCACUUUUCUUUUUCUUUGAUUUUCUCUGACAUUAUAGGCACUUUGGUUUCCGUUAUUGGAGGCAAUGAUGGCCCCUCAGAAGCUGUCCAGUUCAGCCAUUCCUCAUCUACACUCUGAAGCUCUGAAGUCUUUGACCAUGCAAGUUUUAAAUAGCAUGGCAGCAUUUAUUGCCCUUCCAUCAAUCUUGCAAAGAAUCUUACAGGAUCCAGUUUAUGGAAAAGGAAAACUUGGAGAAAUCCAGGGACUUAUCUUGGGAAUGUUAGAUACCUUUAACUAUGAACAAACCCUGCUGGAAACAACAACCAGCCUUCUAAACCAAGAUCUCCAUUGGUCAUUGUGUAACCUGAGAGCUUCGGUCACCAGAGGACUGAAUCCCAAACAAGAUUACUGCUCUAUAUGUUUGCAGCAGUACAAGAGACGCCAAGAAAUGGCUGAUGAAAUAAUUGUCUUUAG
rnacentral:lncRNA from 10 species